GGAGCUCCCACAGACCACAUAUAUGUGUCCAGUUGUGGUCCAUUCUGAAUCCUUGGUACUUGUCCCCCUUUUCAUUUAGCACAAGGUUGUUCAACUAAGCAUAUAUUAUUGUUGUGUUUAAACGUUUAGGCAGUCCUUUGGUGACCACGGUGUUCUUUAUAAAGUUUUUUUAUCGCUCCUAAAGGGGUGUUUCCUGGGCAACCAGCGUCGAUGGCAAUCGAAGUAAGUGAUCUUUCCACCAUGAGCAAGACGGAAGCAAUCUGUAUCUGAACCGCAAUAUGGACAUGUCAAUCUAUCAUGUGUACUCCAACUGGCAAAAAUAGCAUACGCCAUGAAGCCAUGCACCGACCACAAAUACGCAACUCGAAGUUUGAAUAUCUGUUUUUAAAAACAUUGUAUGCUUCGACUGCUUUUCAAAGAUCCUUCAACUCUUUAAUCAAGGAUUUUAACAUGACAUUGAGUUUCUUUCCAGGAUGGUUUGGGCUAGGUAUGAUUAAGCAAAGAAAUAUAAACUCAUACUUCAUACAAAGAGAAGGUGGAAGGUUGUAUGGAAUAACAAAGAUGGACCAACAUGGGUAUGGUGAUGUUAUUUGACCAAAAUGUAAUACCCAAAUCAUAGUAAAAAAAGGAGUUAGAGUAUUUGAUGUUUAUGGAUUUUUUCCUUUCUAUGUGACACAUGCAUAUAUAUAUACACAUAAAAGUUAAUACAUUCUUUAGUAACUAGAAAGAAUAUAUAUAAUAGUGAAAAUACUUCUUCAUGUUGGUAUUUUAUUUGUGCAUAUAAUCUAAGUGUGAAACUCACAACAAAAUUUGAAUUCAAAUUUGAGAUCUAAAAAUAAAAAAUAAAAGAAAACUGAAA
rnacentral:lncRNA from 1 species